CCUACGGGAGGCAGCAGUGAGGAAUAUUGGUCAAUGGACGAGAGUCUGAACCAGCCAAGUAGCGUGAAGGAUGACUGCCCUAUGGGUUGUAAACUUCUUUUAUAAAGGAAUAAAACGAGGCACGUGUGCCUUUUUGCAUGUACUUUAUGAUUAAGGAUCGGCUAACUCCGUGCCAGCAGCCGCGGUAAUACGGAGGAUCCGUGCGUUAUCCGGAUUUAUUGGGUUUAAAGGGAGCGUAGAUGGGUUGUUAAGUCAGUUGUGAAAGUUUGCGGCUCAACCGUAAAAUUGCAAUUGAUACUGGCAGUCUAGAGUACAGUUGAGGUAGGCGGAAUUCGUGGUGUAGCGGUGAAAUGCUUAGAUAUCACGAAGAACCCCGAUUGCGAAGGCAGCUUACUAAACUGUGACUGACAUUGAUGCUCGAAAGUGUGGGUAUCAAACAGGAUUAGAUACCCGAGUAGUC
rnacentral:rRNA from 1 species